UAUUCAUGGAUUCAUCUCUCAGCGGCUGAGUUAUAUUAAAUAGCUCCCUGAGAUGGCUGUCUAUAGCUCAGUUCUAAUUGGUCCUAUGACAGCUGCUGGUCCUAGGAGUUAGAAUGCUGGUGGUCAUACAGGGCCCUUGGAAUCUGAAAAGUCUCCAGACUCUUCUUAUCCAAAUACAAAGGCUUUUUUUUGCUGAAGAGAGAACAGCAAGAUUGAUGGAGCCAUCCUACAAGAACCUUGGCUAACCCUGAGUUCACCUGAAUUUUUAAAAGUCUGUGACCAAAGAGUCACUAAAAACAAAAGAAGCUCAUCAGGUUUUCCCAACAUGCUUUUUCUCACCACUUUAACCACAAAUUUAGUGUGAAUAUACUGUGUCUGCAACUAAGAAGUCAGAAGACUUAUCCAUAAAUGCCUGGGAGCUUUGUUGGGGAAAAGAAAAAGAGGCAGAAAAAUAUCCAAUCAGAAUGGUUUUUAAAUGGCUGAUGAACAAGGGAAGUGGGAGAUGAUACAUCUUCCUUAGAAGAGAGAAAACAAGGUAAUAACAUUAACUAGACAAACUGCUGCAGAAGAUCAAAUUCAGAAAAGGAAUUUCAACAUCACUACACCCCAAAAUGAAACAAGAGGGACUCCAAAUGAUCACAUCCAUGUCCAACCCACCAUAAUGGUCAUAGCAACAGCUGUAAAAUUGUUCUCAGAUGAGUACACACAUAUACGACUCUUCUCUGCACUCAACUCUAAAUCUGUCCCCAGCUUGGCUCUGCAGGGCAGCAAUGAGGUAUUUCAGGUUUCAUUAAAAGGGCAAAUCACAGGCCAUUUAAGAAGGCAAUGGAAUCAUAAGAGUCUCUCUGGACUCCUCACAAUAAAAGGUACACAACAGCA